AGCUCGAGUUUCUCUUCAUUGUCGCAUAAAUCUUUCGCCUUUUACUAAAGAUUUCCGUGGAGGGGAGCUUUUUGCGAGUGACCUGUAUUUUUUUUGGGGGGCUCUGCUCACAGCAGAGCU
ensembl:snRNA U5 U5 spliceosomal RNA